rnacentral:rRNA from 1 species
AGCAGCCGCGGUAAUUCCAGCUCCAAUAGCGUAUAUUAAAGUUGUUGCAGUUAAAAAGCUCGUAGUUGAAUUUCGGGGAUCAAGUUUAUUGGUCGUGCUAUUGUACGUACCUGGUAUUAUUGAUUCCUACCUUCUGACGAACCAUGGUGUCAUUAAUUUGGUGUCAUGGGGAAUACAGGACUGUUACUUUGAAAAAAUUAGAGUGUUUAAAGCAGGCUCACGCUUGAAUACAUUAGCAUGGAAUAACGAAAUAGGACGUUUGAUUCUAUUUUGUUGGUUUCUAGGAUCGACGUAAUGAUUAAUAGGGAUAGUUGGGGGCAUUAGUAUUCAAUUGUCAGAGGUGAAAUUCUUGGAUUUAUUGAAGACUAACUACUGCGAAAGCAUUUGCCAAGGAUGUUUUCAUUAAUCAAGAACGAAAGUUAGGGGAUCGAAGACGAUCAGAUACCGUCGUAGUCUUAACCAUAAACCUAUGCCGACUAGGGAUCGGGAUGAUGUUAAUUUUUAACUGGUAACUCAUUCG